UUCAGAGGUGGCGAGCGUUGUUCGGAUUUACUGGGCGUAAAGGGUGCGUAGGUGGUCUCGUAUGUCGGGUGUGAAAUCCCACUGCUCAACGGUGGAACUGCGCCGGAAACUGCGAGACUUGAGUGCGGGAGGGGAGAGUGGAAUUCUUGGUGUAGCGGUGAAAUGCGUUGAUAUCAAGAAGAACACCGGUGGCGUAGGCGACUCUCUGGAACGCAACUGACACUGAGGCACGAAAGCUAGGGGAG
rnacentral:rRNA from 1 species